rnacentral:tRNA from 1 species
AGUCUAUUAGGUUAAUUAAACUUUAAAUUUUCGAAAUUUAAGAUAAAUAUAGAUUAAAAUUUUA